rnacentral:rRNA from 1 species
GAUGAACGCUAGCGGCAGGCUUAAUACAUGCAAGUCGAGGGGCAGCAGUUUUGUAGCAAUACAGAAGCUGGCGACCGGCAAACGGGUGCGGAACACGUACGCAACCUUCCUUUAACUGGAAGAUAGCCCACCGAAAGGUGGAUUAAUACUCCAUAGCAUAUUGAAGAGGCAUCUUUUUGAUAUUAAAGCUCCGGCGGUUAAAGAUGGGCGUGCGUCUGAUUAGGUAGUUGGCGGGGUAACGGCCCACCAAGCCUUCGAUCAGUAGCUAAUGUGAGAGCAUGAUCAGCCACACGGGCACUGAGACACGGGCCCGACUCCUACGGGAGGCAGCAGUAAGGAAUAUUGGUCAAUGGACGCAAGUCUGAACCAGCCAUGCCGCGUGGAGGAUGAAGGCCCUCUGGGUUGCAAACUUCUUUUCUUUGGGACGAAACCCCUGUUUCUACGGGGACUGACGGUACCAGAGGAAUAAGCACCGGCUAACUCCGUGCCAGCAGCCGCAGUAAUAC